rnacentral:rRNA from 1 species
AGAUUAAGCCAUGCAUGUAUCAGCACAAGCCUAAAAAUGGUGAAGCCGCGAAUAGCUCAUUACAACAGUCGAAGUUUAUUAGAAAUUGUAUGGAUAACUGUGGUAAUCCUAGAGCUAAUACAUGUUCCAAGCCCUGACUUAACGGAAGGGUGCAUUUAUUAGAACAAAGCCGAUCAGUCUCUGCAGGUUGACUCUGAAUAACUUUGCUAAUCGCACAGUCUUUGCACUGGCGAUGUAUCUUUCUCUGCCCUAUCAACUGUUGAUGGUAGAUUAUGCGCCUACCAUGGUUGUAACGGGUAACGGAGAAUCAGGGUUUGAUUCCGGAGAGGGAGCCUGAGAAACAGCUACCACAUCCAAGGAAG